GCAUUCUGUGAUCUCAAUUCCCAUUCAUUUGCCAAUUAGUAUUCUCUGAUCUUCAGCUUACCAAAAACCUAGAAUGAAGAUUGGGGUUCUUUAUUAGAAGUUGUUUUCUUCUCAAGUUUAAGCUAAUUCUCUCAGCAAUAACGGAAGAACUCAAAGCUUUUUCUUUAACAGAAAUCGCUUUUCAUUCCAAAUCCGAGUGUUGCCUAACCAUCCAUGCCAAAUUUCUUGGAAGACCAAUUUCUUGGAAGAACAUCCAGGAGGAAAAGAUGGUAUAUUAGAAUCUAGAG